UUAAGUUAACCAUAUAAAAUAUGUUCUCCUUUAAUUAUAUGCAUCAACCUCAAGUUGAAAACAUCUUAAGUUUUUGCGGCUUAUUAAGGUGAAUGCAUAGACUUAAAGGAGAUGACAUAUAUUUUAUGUGGUUAACUUAACU
rfam:Solanum tuberosum cultivar DM 1-3 516 R44 scf00252_35, whole genome shotgun sequence.